UUAAUAAAUUUAGCUUUUCGCUCAGACUGCAAUCUUCAUACAGCGUUCACAGGUGUCUUCGGCGGGCGCGGGCCCGGGGACGGAGGUCCCCCGGCGGCCUUGCGGCGGACCCGCCGAAGCAACAAGGUACGAUAAACACGGGUGGGAGGUUGGACCCGGAGGGCCCUCACUCGGUAAUGAUCCUUCCGCAGGUUCACCUACGGAAA
rnacentral:misc_RNA from 1 species